GUCAGCUAUGUGCACUCUAGCUGCCAAAGGCGCUUCUCCUUCUGAACAGAGCGCUUUGCUCAGCCAGUGUAGACAUGGCCUGAU
ensembl:miRNA Mir1251 microRNA 1251